rnacentral:rRNA from 1 species
UACGGAGGGGGUUAGCGUUGUUCGGAAUUAACUGGGCGGUAAAGACGCACGUAGGCGGGACUAGUCAGUCAGAGGUGAAAUACCCCCACGGGCGUCAACCCUCGGAACUGCCUUUGUAUACUGCUAGUCUUGAGUUCGAGAGAGGUAAGUGGAAUUCCGAGUGUAGAGGUGAAAUUCGUAGAUAUUCGGAGGAACACCAGUGGCGAAGGCGGCUUACUGGUUCGAUACUGACGCUGAGGUGCGAAAGUGUGGGGAGCAAACAGGAUUAGAUACCCCGGUAGU